UACGGAGGGUGCUAGCGUUGUUCGGAAUCACUGGGCGUAAAGGGCGUGUAGGCGGUCUGUUAAGUCUGAUGUGAAAUCCCCUCGCUCAACGAGGGAACUGCGUCGGAUACUGGCAGACUUGAGUACCGGAGAGGAAGGUGGAAUUCCCGGUGUAGUGGUGAUAUGCGUAGAUAUCGGGAGGAACACCGGUGGCGAAGGCGGCUUUCUGGGCCGAACCUGACGCUGAGACGCGAAAGCGUGGGGAGCGAACCGG
rnacentral:rRNA from 1 species